rnacentral:rRNA from 1 species
GAUGAACGCUGGCGGCGUGCCUAAUACAUGCAAGUCGAGCGAACAGAUACGGAGCUUGCUCCUUGGACGUGAGCGGCGGACGGGUGAGUAACACGUGGGUAACCUACCUAUAAGACUGGGAUAACUUCGGGAAACCGGAGCUAAUACCGGAUAAUAUUUCGAGCCGCAUGGUUCGAUAGUGAAAGAUGGUUUUGCUAUCACUUAUAGAUGGACCCGCGCCGUAUUAGCUAGUUGGUAAGGUAACGGCUUACCAAGGCGACGAUACGUAGCCGACCGGAGAGGGUGAUCGACCGCACUGGAAGUGAGACACGGUCCAGACUCCUACGAGAGGCAGCAGUAGGGAAUCUUCCGCAAUGAGCGGAAGCCUGACGGAGCAGCGACGCGGGGGGGAUGAAGGUCUUCGGAUCGUAGAACUCUGUUAUUAGGGAAGAACAUACGUGGAAGUGAUUGUGCACGGCUUGACGGUAGCUAAUCAGAAAGCCACGGCUAACUACGUG